CCUACGUGAGGCAGCAGUCGAGAAUCAUUCACAAUGGGGGAAACCCUGAUGGUGCGACGCCGCGUGGGUGAAUGAAGGUCUUCGGAUUGUAAACCCCUUUCAUGUGUGAGCAAAUUAAAAAGAUAGUACCACAAGAGGAAGACACUGCUAACUCUGUGCCAGCAGCCGCGGUAAUACAGAGGUCUCAAGCGUUGUUCGGAAUCACUGGGCGUAAAGCGUGCGUAGGCUAUUUCGUAAGUCGUGUGUGAAAGUCGCGGGCUCAACCCGCGGACGGCACAUGAUACUGCGAGACUAGAGUAAUGGAGGGGGAACAGGAAUUCUCGGGGUAGCAGUGAAAUGCGUAGAUAUCGAGAGGAACACUCGUGGCGAAGGCGGGUUCCUGGACAUUAACUGACGCUGAGGCACGAAGGCCAGGGGAGCGAAAGGGAUUAGAUACCCUUGUAGUC
rnacentral:rRNA from 1 species